rnacentral:lncRNA from 1 species
GGUUGGGGGUGAGGGGAGGGAGAGGGAGAAGGGACUUGAAAUAAGCUUGUUCCCUAACUAGAACUAAUAAAAUAAAAAAAUAAAAAAAUAAAAAAAGCUAAUUGUAGUGAAUCUAUUUCACGUCUGCACCUCACUUAGAUCACUUCCUCUCCAAACAUAUUAUUUAUAUUCAGGCAAUCUGUGAGAAAUACCAUACUAUGUUGCUGGAGUUUCUUUCCAGCCUGGUCCCAUAUCUACUUCAGCCUUAAAUAAAUAAACAAACACACAGACACUAUAUUAAUUAUCUUAUUGGCUAGCUCUGUCUUAAUUAUUAGCCCAUUUCUAUUAAUCUAUGUAUUGUCAUGAGGCUGUGGCUUACCCACAAACCCACACGUUGCUCCAUCGGCAACAUGGUGUCUCCUCCCUGUUCCUCCUCCCUGUCUUCCUCUCCCAGCCUGUCCAGGCAGACAGCCAGCUGUUUCUAUCAUUUCUAACAUUUUUUGGAAGUUGCUUGCUCACACUUCCUGUUUACUCAGCUAAUAUUAUUUUCUUCUUGGGUCUCUCAGGGAGUUGAAGACUAAAUAGUAUAGUUAUAGUUUUCUCUCUUUACCAGAAACAGUAAAGAAACUCACUAUAGACGUAUUAAGUGUAAUAGGUUUAAAACACAUUAAAAGAUAAUUUGAUAUGCAAAUUAAAAUAGAAAGUAAAUUAGUUACAAGACUUUGGACUCAUCAAGAAAGAAUAGAUAAUGUAGUAUUUUCUAAGAAUUUGUCAUAUGCUUAUGGACUAGACAUUGUUAAUGUAAUUAUUGCCAUGUAUAUAUUGUAUAUCGUUACUGUACUGUUUUUCUCACAUUAGUUAUAACCUUGUUUUAAAUUUUUGACAAAAAAAGGGGAUAUGUGGUGAUAUCUUUCUUGUACACAUAAAGAAUGUCUGGGGGUCAGAGAAUGGAGCUUGCCACUAGCUAACCAAAGAGGUCUGGAGGUCUGUAUAGACAGGAAGUGAGGUAGCUGGGCAGAAACAGGAUAUAAGCAGGGAGAAACAGGAAAUCACUCUCUGCAGAGACACUUAGGAGAGACUUCAUACAGCAGCUGAUGGAAGCACAAGCAGACACUCACAGCUAAACACUGAACUGGAAUCCAGUUGCAGAGAGGAAGGAAUGAUGAGCAAAGUGGUAAAGACAAGGCUGGUGAAACCCACAGAAACAGCUGACUUGAACAAGAGGGACCUCAUGGACCCCAGACUGACAGCUGGGAAACCAGCAUGGGACUGAUCCAGACCCCCAGAACUUUUGUGUCAGUGAGGAGGCCUCAGAAAUCUACGGGGCCUCUGGUAGUGUCAGUAUUUAUCCCUAGCAUAGGAAUGGACUUUGGGAGCACAUUUUACAGAGAGGGAUACUCUCUCAGCCUAGACACUCCGGGGAGAGCCUAGGCCCUUCUCUAAAGGAUAUGACAGACUCUGAAGGUGCCCCAAGAAAGGCCUCACCCUCCCUGUGGAGUAGAAAGAGUAUGGAAUAGUGAGUUAGGGGCAGGGGAGGAGUGGAGAGAGAGAGGGAUUCGAAUGUAAAACAAUUUUGUUUCUAAUUUAAAUAAAAAUGAAAAAAACAAAUUCUAAAUAAAUAUUGGCAAAUUAAUGUUAGAUGGGUUUGUUUUAAAUAAGCAAUGUUUCUAGGCUUUGGAAACCUGAUAAUAUAAUUGAAUAUUUUGUAAUUAAAGAAGAAAAACUUCAAAUCACUAUUUUUUUUUGAGACAGGGUUUCUCUGUGGCUUUUGAAGCUGUCCUUGAACUUGCUCUGUAGACCAGACUGGCCUCGAACUCACAGAGAUUCGCCUGCCUCUGCCUCCCAAGUGCUGGGGUUAAAGACGUGCGCCACCAACACUCCGCUCAAAUCACCAUUUCAUAAUAGACACAGAAAAGUAUUUUACAUAAUCCACAGUCACUUAUAAUUAAAAAUAAAACAGGCAGGAUAAAAGGCCCUGUUAUCCUGAUAAUCAUCUCUAUAAAAUCCUAAGAACAAACAUCUAAAUGAAUAAUCAGAAAGUACAGACAUCACAUUCUAUGUUAUAAUAGGAGCUCAUUUGCUACCCCUGUUUUUGUUAAUAGCUGAAUUUGAUAUUCUAUCUGUAGACCCUAGGUAAUGAAAACAAAUGAUAUAU